UACGGGGGGGGCAAGCGUUGUUCGGAAUUACUGGGCGUAAAGGGCUCGUAGGCGGCCAACUAAGUCGGAUGUGAAAUCCCCAGGCUUAACCUGGGAACUGCAUCCGAUACUGGUUGGCUUGAAUCCGGGAGAGGGAUGCAGAAUUCCAGGUGUAGCGGUGAAAUGCGUAGAUAUCUGGAGGAACACCGGUGGCGAAGGCGGCAUCCUGGACCGACACUGACGCUGAGGCGCGAAAGCUAGGGUAGCAAACGGG
rnacentral:rRNA from 1 species